UACGUAGGUGGCAAGCGUUAUCCGGAUUUAUUGGGCGUAAAGGGAACGCAGGCGGUCUUUUAAGUCUGAUGUGAAAGCCUUCGGCUUAACCGGAGUAGUGCAUUGGAAACUGGGAGACUUGAGUGCAGAAGAGGAGAGUGGAACUCCAUGUGUAGCGGUGAAAUGCGUAGAUAUAUGGAAGAACACCAGUGGCGAAAGCGGCUCUCUGGUCUGUAACUGACGCUGAGGUUCGAGAGCGUGGGUAGCAAACAGG
rnacentral:rRNA from 1 species